rnacentral:tRNA from 1 species
UGGGAUGUGGCUCAAGCGAUAGAGCGCUUGCCUGACAUGCGUGGGUUGCUGGGUUCAAUCCUCAGCACCACAU